UACAGAGGUCCCGAGCGUUGUUCGGAUUCACUGGGCGUAAAGGGUGCGUAGGUGGCAGGGUAAGUUUGAUGUGAAAUCUCCAAGCUUAACUUGGAAACUGCAUUGAAUACUAUCCUGCUCGAGGGUUGGAAGGGGGACUGGAAUUCUCGGUGUAGCAGUGAAAUGCGUAGAUAUCGAGAGGAACACCAGUGGCGAAGGCGAGUCCCUGGACAACACCUGACACUGAGGCACGAAAGCUAGGGGAGCAAACAGG
rnacentral:rRNA from 1 species